rnacentral:tRNA from 1 species
GUCCCUGUAGCUUACAAUCAAAGCAUGGCACUGAAGAUGCCAAGAUGGCCUCAUACUGCCCAGGGAC